AGCAGUUCGGCUGGGCACUCUAAAGGGACUGCCGGUGUUAAACCGGAGGAAGGUGGGGAUGACGUCAAGUCCUCAUGGCCUUUAUGACCAGGGCUACACACGUACUACAAUGGCCGAUACAAAGGGCAGCGACACUGCGAGGUGAAGCCAAUCCCGUAAAAUCGGUCUCAGUCCGGAUUGGAGUCUGCAAUUCGACUCCAUGAAGUUGGAAUCGCUAGUAAUCGUGGAUCAGCAUGCCACGGUGAAUACGUUCCCGGGCCUU
rnacentral:rRNA from 1 species